CCGCCUCCUGGCACGCGUCGGCGAGCCCGCUACAGACUCCGCCUCCACCCCGGCCGCGGUGAUUGGGGGCCGACGAGGCCACACAGGGUUCAGUCUUCUCCCGCUCUGGACUGUUCCAGAUGUUCUUAGUCAGCCGGCAGCUGCCGUAGCAGUUGGUUAUACUUUCAAAAUGUUAAAUUUGCGGUACCAAAAUGUUUUCCUAAUCAUGAAUGAUGAAUGACUACAUCUGAAUAAAUAUUUCCUAAUCAUGAA